rnacentral:rRNA from 1 species
UACGUAGGGUGCGAGCGUUAAUCGGAAUUACUGGGCGUAAAGCGUGCGAAGGCGGUUUUCCAAGUACGUUGUGAAAGCCCCGGGCUCAACCUGGGAAUGGCAGUGGAAACUAGGGGACUGGAAUCUGGCAGAGGGGGGUGGAAUGCCGCGUGUAGCAGUGAAAUGCGUAGAGAUGCGGCGGAACACCGAUGGCGAAGGCAGCCCCCUGGGCUGAGAUUGACGCUCAGGCACGAAAGCGUGGGGAGCAAACAGG